GUACUCAAUUCAGCAACAUUCACUAAAACUGGAACAAUACAGAAAAGAUUAGAAUGAUCCCUAAGCAAAGAUGGCCUACAAAUUUGUAAAGCAUUCCAUAUUUUU